AGGAGACAACAAAGCCAGCAGCUUUAAGAGAGGAAAAUGCUAAGAGGUCCUUGUUAACAUCUGGACCAAAGGAAGAGGAAGCGUCGGCACCUGCGGAUUCGGAUUCUGAGGAGGAGACAACAAAGCCAGCAGGUUUAAGAGAGGAAAAUG